rnacentral:rRNA from 1 species
GUUAAAAAGCUCGUAGUUGGAUCUCAGUUACAGACGGGUGGUCCGCCUACCGGUGGUUACUGCCUGUUCUGAACAUCCCAGCCGGUUUCUCUUGAUGAUCUUCACCGGUUGUCUUGGGUGACCGGCAAGUUUACUUUGAAAAAAUUAGAGUGCUCAAAGCAGGCGUGACGCCUGAAUAAUGGUGCAUGGAAUAAUGGAAUAGGACCUCGGUUCUAUUUUGUUGGUUUUCGGAACAAGAGGUAAUGAUUAAGAGGGACAGACGGGGGCAUUCGUAUUGCGACGCUAGAGGUGAAAUUCUUGGACCGUCGCAAGACGAACUACUGCGAAAGCAUUUGCCAAGAAUGUUUCCAUUAAUCAAGAACGAAAGUUAGAGGUUCGAAGGCGAUCAGAUACCGCCCUAGUUCUAACCAUAAACGAUGCCAGCCAGCGAUCCGGCUGUGUUCCUCAAAUGACACGCCGGGCAGCUUCCGGGAAACCAAAGCUUUUGGGUUCCGGGGGAAGUAUGGUUGCAAAGCUAAAACUUAAAGGAAUUGACGGAAGGUCACUACAAGGAAUGGGGCCUGCGGUUCAAUUUGACUCAACGCAGCACAUCUCAUCCGGCCCGGACACAGGAAGGAUUGACAGAUUAAGAGCUCUUUCUUGAUUUUGUGGGUAGUGGUGCAUGGCCGUUCAUAGUUGGUGGAGCGAUUUGUCUGGUCAAUUCCGAUAACGAGCGAGACUCUAGCCUACUAAAUAGACGCUUCCGAUCCUUCGUAGUCGGACGUUCUUCUUAGAGGGACACGCGGCGUCUAGCCGCACGAGACAGAGCGCUAACAGGUCUGUAAUGCCCUUAGAUGUUCGGGGCCACACGCGCGCCACAUUGAAGGAAUCAGCGUGUGAUUUCCCUGCCCGACAGGACCGGGUAACCCGUGGAACCUCCUUCGUGCUGGGGAUAGGGGCUUGUAAUUGUUCCCCUUGAACGAGGAAUUCCUAGUAAGCGCGAGUCAUAACCUCGUGCUGACUACGUCUCUGGCCUUUGUGCACACCGCCCGUCGCUACUAGCGAUGAAUGAUUUAGUGAGGUCUUCGGACUGGUUCCCGGGGUGGCCUUCGGGUCGUGCCGGCGUGCCGGAAAGAUGACCAAACUUGAUUAUUUAGAGGAAGUAA